GCCUCCCAAAGCGCUGGGAUUAUAGGCAUGGGUCACUGCACACCCAGCCCACAAUUUCACAUUUUAGUAUCUCAGGUCCUUUGUGAAUCAUUUGACACUACCUCAUUAUAAUAGAAUAUUCAACUAGAAGAUUUUAAACAAGAAAGAUUAAUUCACAUGACAAGAAGCUAAAGCUAGGAAAUUUCAGGUUUUGUUCAGCCAUCUCCCAGGUCUCCAAGCACCCAGUUCUUUCUAUCUUUCUGCUGUACCCACUGCAUGUUGGUUGAUCCUUGGUCUAGUCUCCUCAUGGUCACAGAAUGGCUGCUGGAGCUUCUCACAGCAUAUCAUCACCUGCUUACUUACAUUCAGAGGCAGAAAACUGGCAAGUUUUACUUUUUUUUAUUUUUAUUUUUUGUCAGGAAAAAGCUUUACAUAAGCCUCAAUUAGUGUCUUUCUUAGGUCUGCCUGGACAAUAUUGGGUCACCUGUCAUCUCCAGAGGACCUGGGAAAGUGAAUCUUUAUUCAGUAUCUAUUCUGGGAUGUGAGCUUGGUCAAUCAGGAGGAAAGAGAAGGGGACCUGUGGAUGGACACUCAAGAGGCGGCUCCAGAAAAAGGAAAUGACAGCUGCACUACAAAUGGAAAACCGCGAUCACUUACUCACUAGAGAAGCAGGACCUCAGGAAGAAGCUCCAUAAGCUGCCAUGAGCACACAUGGAGGCUCCUGGAGAGGACGGUGAAGCCACCCCCGGGCAGAAUGGUGUCCAGGGGUCGAUGUCUUCUGCUUCUUUCUGCCUACCAAAUCACUCCUGGGUUCCCCUUAAACCAAGCUCUGACCAGUAGGCUCAGAGGCAAAUAGAUCAGGGAAAUGUACCGCCCAGCCUUAGAAGAAGAUGGUGGCACUGAUGUGUCAAGAGGAAAUAUAGCACCUAUAUAUAUGUACCAAGGGAAGAGGGGGGGAAGUGUUCAAAAUUACAUUUCGUUCAUUCAUCCAUUCAAAAAAUACUUAACAAUCACCUGCUUUAUAGCAGUCACUGUCUUGCACCGGGAUAUAACACGGUACAAACUAGGUGCGAUCUUUGCGAUUAUUAGGUUUAUUGGUAGCAGUUGUUGCUGUUACAUCUCACUGCUCUCAUUGCAAAUGUUGAUGGUGGCUUUUACGUCUGUGAAAAUAAAAAGCAUGACCUUUUGAUAGUUGUUUGCUGUAUGGAAGCCUAUUUUACUAUGUUUGCAUGCAAACUUCUAUCUGACCUUAAGCUAAUGGGAGCUUGUAAAGAGGUGGAAUCGAAUGUAAAGUUUGAAAAGACAAGAA